CAGCCGCCACGGGAAUACGGAGGAUGCAAGCGUUAAUCGGAAUUACUGGGCGUAAAGCGUGCGUAGGCGGUUCGUUAAGUCUGUUGUGAAAGCCCCGGGCUCAACCUGGAAUGGCAAUGGAUACUGGCGAGCUAGAGUGUGUCAGAGGAUGGUGGAAUUCCCGGUGUAGCGGUGAAAUGCGUAGAGAUCGGGAGGAACAUCAGUGGCGAAGGCGGCCAUCUGGGACAACACUGACGCUGAGGCACGAAAGCGUGGGGAGCAAACAGGAUUAGAUACCCCAGUAGUCCCUGUCUCUUAUACA
rnacentral:rRNA from 1 species